AUUUUCUGAUAUGUAGAAAAAAUAUCAGACAGUUUCUGGUCUCAUUGACUUCCAUAGUAGGAAAAAUAUAUACUAUGGAAGUCAAUGAGACCAGAAACUGU